GCCCGCCUAGCUCAAUCGGAUAGAGCGUCAGACUUUUACGUCAGUUUCUACAAGGCGGUCAUCUGAAGGCUGCGAGUUCGACCCUCGCGGUGGGCU
rnacentral:tRNA from 1 species